rnacentral:rRNA from 1 species
GUGACGAGUGGCGGANGGGUGAGUAAUGUCUGGGAAACUGCCCGAUGGAGGGGGAUAACUACUGGAAACGGUAGCUAAUACCGCAUAACGUCUUCGGACCAAAGUGGGGGACCUUCGGGCCUCACACCAUCGGAUGUGCCCAGAUGGGAUUAGCUAGUAGGUGGGGUAACGGCUCACCUAGGCGACGAUCCCUAGCUGGUCUGAGAGGAUGACCAGCCACACUGGAACUGAGACACGGUCCAGACUCCUACGGGAGGCAGCAGUGGGGAAUAUUGCACAAUGGGCGCAAGCCUGAUGCAGCCAUGCCGCGUGUAUGAAGAAGGCCUUCGGGUUGUAAAGUACUUUCAGUGGGGAGGAAGGCGAUGAAGUUAAUAGCUUCGUCGAUUGACGUUACCCGCAGAAGAAGCACCGGCUAACUCCGUGCCAGCAGCCGCGGUAAUACGGAGGGUGCAAGCGUUAAUCGNAAGUACUGGGCGUAAAGCGCACNCAGGCGGGCUGGCAAGUCNNAGGUGAAGUCCCCGGGCUC